GACGAACGCUGGCGGCGUGCUUAACACAUGCAAGUCGAACGGAAAGGCCCUGCUUUUGUGGGGUGCUCGAGUGGCGAACGGGUGAGUAACACGUGAGUAACCUGCCCUUGACUUUGGGAUAACUUCAGGAAACUGGGGCUAAUACCGGAUAGGAGCUCCUGCUGCAUGGUGGGGGUUGGAACGUUUCGGCGGUUGGGGAUGGACUCGCGGCUUAUCAGCUUGUUGGUGGGGUAGUGGCUUACCAAGGGUUUGACGGGUAGCCGGCCUGAGAGGGUGACCGGCCACAUUGGUACUGAGAUACGGCCCAGACUCCUACGUGGGGCAGCAGGGGGGAAUAUUGCACAAUGGGCGGAAGCCUGAUGCAGCAACGCCGCGUGCGGGAUGACGGCCUUCGGGUUGUAAACCGCUUUCGCCUGUGACGAAGCGUGAGUGACGGUAAUGGGUAAAGAAGCACCGGCUAACUACGUG
rnacentral:rRNA from 1 species